rnacentral:rRNA from 1 species
UACAGAGGGGGCCAGCGUUAUUCGGAAUUAUUGGGCGUAAAGGGCGCGUAGGCGGCCAUGCGUGUCUUUCGUGAAAUCCCUCGGCUUAACUGAGGACGUGCGGAAGAAACUGCAAGGCUUGAGUCCGGGAGAGGGGGGUGGAAUUCCCAGUGUAGCGGUGAAAUGCGUAGAUAUUGGGAGGAACACCAAUGGCGAAGGCAGCUCGCUGGGACGUUACUGACGCUGAGACGCGAAAGCGUGGGGAGCAAACAGG